rnacentral:lncRNA from 1 species
CCCGUGUCUCUGGGACCUCAGUUUCCUCAUCCAAUUACAAACAAAAGGGAAGUGAGGAGUCUAUUAAUAGAGUUUGCGUAUUAUGUGUCAGACGCUCUGCCAAGCCCUUUGCAAACAGCAUGACCUCUAACUCCUCACACCAAUUCUCCCAGGGAGGUGUUAUUAUCAUCCUCUGGUAUCUGCAGAUGAGGAAAACAGGCUUUGCAGGAUUUGAACCCAGCUGUCUGGCACCCACUCCAAUGCUUUUAGCCACCGUGGUUCAUGGCCCCGCCCCGGAGCAGGAUCUCUGGUACACGGCCUGGAAGAGAGCCCUGAGGCCCACCAAUAGUGACUUCUCACGAGCUGCUCACCAGCGCUCCUUGGGGGCCCUCGAGCACCCCCAAGUCCCACUCGUGGAUCGGAAGCAGCGGAGAGCUGGAGGGUUAAGAGGACAUGAGAAUGGCAUGACAGAUCCUCAGCCACGAGGAUCAGCACAUGUGAGAAGGAUGAUCCCAGAAAAACGGGCCCUCCCCUCAGCCCACGCCUUGAUUCUGCUCCAGAACGCGGAGGAUGCAGAACUUCAAGAGGGCUGUGGCGAAGGUGUUGGCCAGCUCAGUGGACCCGGCACUUUGGCGUCAGAACUUCAGGGGAAAUUGGGACGCAGACACACACAGGGGGAAGGCCACGUGUACACCAAGGCAGAGAUGGGCUGAUGCGUCUACCAGCCAAGGAACCCCCCAAAGGGGCCGGCGACCCACCAGAAGCGCGGGGAGAGGCCUGGAACAGAUUCUCCCUCACAGCGCUCAGAAGGAGCCCACGCGGCCCCACAUCUCGAUCUUGGACUUCCAGCCUCAGAACUGCAUCCAUUUCUGUUGGAACUGAAAUAAUUCCCUGUGAAAUAAUACAUUUCUGUUGCUUCCCCACCCGCCGUGUAGUACUUGGUGAUGGCAGCCCGAGUGACUUAGCCGCUGCGAUGCAGUGAGGUGGAUUUAUCGUACUGCGUCUGUGCACAGCUGCAAAGUGGGGCAGAGACCGGGGUCUACACGGCAGGAUUGUUUGUCAUCGCUAAAGACUGGAGCAACCCAAAUCUCCGUCAGUCAGCAGCUGCCUCAAUACGUGAUGGGACAUCCUGACGGGGGGAUAUUUUCAGCGAGGAGGCAGCGUAGCAUGUGCAGAUGGGAAUUAUCUCAAAGGUUGAUUAUGAAGUGAGAAAAGCAAGAUGCAGUGGUGAGAGAGAGGGCCUCAUCUGCAGGAAAAUACAGAGAAACAAAGCAGAAAAUAAAUGUGCAAAUAUUUGCUUGUAGCUGCAUACAUUCUAUUGGAAAGAUAGAGGCGAAGCUGCUGAAUUCACUCGUUCCCGGCCUGCAGAAUCUCUUUGAGGCUCACAGAAAGAUUUCUGCUUCCACUAUAAACACACCUGUCCCUUUUGAACCUUUUACACUGUUUAUGUAUUACCUGUUCAGAAAAAAAAGUCUUAUGGGGAACAUCAAGAUGUUUCUCGUACUUCAAAACCCAACACUGAAAAGAGAAAAUACAGGCGUUUUGGCUUUUCAUCUUUUGGACAUAACAGCUCUUCAUACCUGAAAUAGGUUAUUUCAGGAGAUGAUACCUUCUCUCUUAUCUCUUCGUUUCGAAACAAAGCACAAAAUUUGUUUUUAAAAUACCUAAAUAAAUCAUAAAAAUGAAGCAUAAGAUGCAAGAAUUCUAACGCUUUCAUGGAUUGAAAGCAAGCAUAUCUGUUUUUUAAUCCCUAGCAUGUAAAUUUCAGUCGACAACGAUCGUUUCAGCAG